GAUGAACGCUGGCGGCGUGCCUAAUACAUGCAAGUCGAGCGAACAGACGAGGAGCUUGCUCCUCUGACGUUAGCGGCGGACGGGUGAGUAACACGUGGAUAACCUACCUAUAAGACUGGAAUAACUCCGGGAAACCGGGGCUAAUGCCGGAUAACAUUUAGAACCGCAUGGUUCUAAAGUGAAAGAUGGUUUUGCUAUCACUUAUAGAUGGACCCGCGCCGUAUUAGCUAGUUGGUAAGGUAACGGCUUACCAAGGCAACGAUACGUAGCCGACCUGAGAGGGUGAUCGGCCACACUGGAACUGAGACACGGUCCAGACUCCUACGGGAGGCAGCAGUAGGGAAUCUUCCGCAAUGGGCGAAAGCCUGACGGAGCAACGCCGCGUGAGUGAUGAAGGUCUUCGGAUCGUAAAACUCUGUUAUUAGGGAAGAACAAAUGUGUAAGUAACUGUGCACGUCUUGACGGUACCUAAUCAGAAAGCCACGGCUAACUACGUG
rnacentral:rRNA from 1 species